GUGGGGAAUCUUGCGCAAUGGGCGAAAGCCUGACGCAGCCAUGCCGCGUGAAUGAUGAAGGUCUUAGGAUUGUAAAAUUCUUUCACCGGGGACGAUAAUGACGGUACCCGGAGAAGAAGCUCCGGCUAACUUCGUGCCAGCAGCCGCGUUAAUACGAAGGGGGCUAGCGUUGCUCGGAAUUACUGGGCGUAAAGGGCGCGUAGGCGGACAGUUUAGUCAGAGGUGAAAGCCCAGGGCUCAACCUUGGAAUUGCCUUUGAUACUGGCUGUCUUGAGUACGGGAGAGGUGAGUGGAACUCCGAGUGUAGAGGUGAAAUUCGUAGAUAUUCGGAAGAACACCAGUGGCGAAGGCGACUCACUGGCCCGUUACUGACGCUGAGGCGCGAAAGCGUGGGGAGCAAACAGGAUUAGAUACCCGGGUAGUCC
rnacentral:rRNA from 1 species